rnacentral:rRNA from 1 species
UACGUAGGGUGCUAGCGUUAAUCGGAAUUACUGGGCGUAAAGCGUGCGCAGGCGGUUUUGUAAGCCAGAUGUGAAAUCCCCGGGCUUAACCUGGGAAUGGCAUUUGGGACUGCAAGGCUGGAGUGCGGCAGAGGAGACUGGAAUUCCUGGUGUAGCGGUGGAAUGCGCAGAUAUCAGGAGGAACACCGGUGGCGAAGGCGGGAUCCUGGGCCAGUACUGACGCUGAGGCGCGAAAGCGUGGGUAGCAAACGGG